AACGAACGCUGGCGGCAUGCCUAACACAUGCAAGUCGAACGAGACCUUCGGGUCUAGUGGCGCACGGGUGCGUAACGCGUGGGAAUCUGCCCUUGGGUUCGGGAUAACAGUUGGAAACGACUGCUAAUACCGGAUGAUGACUUCGGUCCAAAGAUUUAUCGCCCAGGGAUGAGCCCGCGUAGGAUUAGCUUGUUGGUGAGGUAAGAGCUCACCAAGGCGACGAUCCUUAGCNGGUCUGAGAGGAUGAUCAGCCACACUGGGACUGAGACACGGCCCAGACUCCUACGGGAGGCAGCAGUGGGGAAUAUUGGACAAUGGGCGAAAGCCUGAUCCAGCAAUGCCGCGUGAGUGAUGAA
rnacentral:rRNA from 1 species